rnacentral:rRNA from 1 species
CUGACAUGAGUAGCGAUAAAGAGUGUGAGAAACACUCUCGCCGAAAUCCCAAGGGUUCCUGCGUAAAGCUAAUCUGCGCAGGGUAAGCCGGCCCCUAAGCCGAGGACGAAGGUCGUAGGCGAUGGGAACCAGGUUAAUAUUCCUGGGCCUGCUGGGAGUUGACGAAUGGCGUAAGUUGUCAGUCCUUAUCGGAUUGGUCUGGCAGCGAAGCCGUUCCAGGAAAUAGCCCCAGCUUUAGACCGUACCCUAAACCGACACAGGUGGGAUGGUAGAGUAUACCAAGGCGCUUGAGAGAACUGCGUUGAAGGAACUCGGCAAAAUACUCCCGUAAGUUCGCGAGAAGGGAGACCUCUGAUUGGGCAACCAGUUAGGGGUGGCACAGAAAUGGGGGUGGCGACUGUUUACUAAAAACACAGGGCUCUGCGAAG